rnacentral:rRNA from 1 species
AUUGAACGCUGGCGGCAAGCCUAACACAUGCAAGUCGAACGAGUGGCGGACGGGUGAGUAAUGUCUGGGAAACUGCCUGAAGGAGGGGGAUAACUACUGGAAACGGUAGCUAAUAACGCAUACCAUCGGAUGUGCCCAGAUGGGAUUAGCUAGUAGGUGGGGUAAAGGCUCACCAAGGCGACGAUCCCUGGCUGGUCUGAGAGGAUGACCAGCAACACGGGACCUGGAACAGGUUUCAGACUCCUACGGGAGGCAGCGGGGGGGAAUAUUCCACAAUGGGCGCAAGCCGGAUGCAGCCAGGCCGCGUGUAUGAAGAAGGCCUUCGGGUUGUAAAGUACUUUCAGCGGGGAGGCGUUACCCGCAGAAGAAGCACCGGCUAACUCCGUGCCAGCCGCCGCGGUAAUA